CCAAACGUCCUUUUCAGGACGACCAAAUAUACAAAAGAGAUGCGAUU
rfam:Drosophila mojavensis strain TSC#15081-1352.22 Ctg01_10521, whole genome shotgun sequence.